rnacentral:rRNA from 1 species
UGGAGGGGCUGUAAAGGUGUUCCAGGAAAUAGCCUCAUCAUAUAGACCGUACCCUAAACCGACACAGGUGGGUUGGUAGAGUAUACCAAGGCGCUUGAGAGAACUAUGCUGAAGGAACUCGGCAAAUUGCCUCCGUAACUUCGGGAGAAGGAGGCCCACCAUCGAGGCAACUCUUUGGUGGGGGCACAAAAGAGGGGGUGGCGACUGUUUACUAAAAACACAGGGCUCUGCGAAGCCGUAAGGCGACGUAUAGGGUCUGACGCCUGCCCGGUGCCGGAAGG